rnacentral:rRNA from 1 species
AACGAACGCUGGCGGCAUGCCUAACACAUGCAAGUCGAACGGGAUCCUAGCUUGCUAGGUGAGAGUGGCGGACGGGUGAGUAACACGUGGGAAUCUGCCUUUUGGUUCGGGAUAACCGCGGGAAACUGCGGCUAAUACCGGAUGCUCCCGAGAGGGAAAAGAUUUAUCGCCAGAAGAGGAGCCCGCGUCCGAUUAGGUAGUUGGUAGGGUAAUGGCCUACCAAGCCAACGAUCGGUAGCUGGUCUGAGAGGAUGAUCAGCCACACUGGGACUGAGAUACGGCCCAGACUCCUACGGGAGGCAGCAGUGGGGAAUAUUGGACAAUGGGGGCAACCCUGAUCCAGCAAUGCCGCGUGAGUGAUGAAGGCCUUAGGGUUGUAAAGCUCUUUUGCCAGGGAAGAUGAUGACUGUACCUGGAGAAUAAGCCCCGGCUAACUUCGUGCCAGCCGCCGCGGUAA